rnacentral:sRNA from 1 species
AUUAAUCAUUUUGCAAAUCACCCUAAAUCUUAUAGUUUAGAUCUCGAUUUUGAUUUAUUUUGUAUAUUGUUUCACACAUGGACUGAGAGAGCUAAAUCAAUAAACUGAAUCAAGCUAAACUAAAAAAUAAACUGAAUCAAGCUAAACACUAAAUCGAAACCAAAAUCUAUCACAAAAUAGUAUAACGAAUUCACAUAAUCAACACCAAAAUCGAAUAAUUCAAUUCGAAAUUGAGACAUUUAGGCUAAAAUAACAAAUUCGAAAUCGAUUCCAUAAGAGAAACACAAACCUGGGAAAUUGAUGGUGAAAUGAAGACUGCGAGGGUGAAAGACAAGACGAUUCCGACGACGCCGUCGUACUCUCCGACGGCGACAGACCAAGAACAAGAGAGACAAAUGAAAAUUAGGCCGCUGGUCUGUAGUUCACUAUAGGUAAAAGGGGGAUACAAAUUAGGAGAGAGUGCAAAUGAAAAUGGCCAGAAAAAGAGGUUGAUUUUAAAAGGGGUAUGAUGAAAAGGGUAUUAGAGAAUUAAUUAAAAAACAACAAACACCAAUAAUUAGUCAAAUCGGAAAUUAACAUU